CUGACAUCCAUUUUAGUGUAUAAAUUCUCUGAAAUCAGGAUGAAUAAUAAUCCUGGUCAGUUUGUCUUUGGCUGCUCUUCAAUUCAGCAGAAAAAAUAGUCUAUCACAAAAAUGUUUCAUUGUGUAAUACUUGACUGCUUUUAUCUGUUUAUGCCACACACAGAGCAGUAAUAAAUGUUUAAAGGAAAAUGUGGGUUCCAGGAAUACAGGUGUAUGAAGAAAUAUCAGCUGGAUUCUCCCCCAGUUUCUUUAGAAGGGUGAGAAAAUCUGCAGCGAUUCUGAGCUUUCAUUAUUGAUAGAGACUUGGAACCUGCAACCCACAGAAGUCCCAAGAGUGCGGAUUUAUCCAUGGAAUUAUACCAAGAAUAAAUUAGACCACGGACAUCAGAGGCACCACUCACAGGCGUAUGAACUACUGGCUCCAGUCCACUGUUUCCGUACUUUGGUUAUUUCCAUUUAGUUUAACUUGAUUAGAUUCCAACACUCAGUAAACUUGAUCAAAUUUUUUUUGAAGAAUAUGUUUGCAUAUCAACUACAUUUUUCACAUCCUUGCUCAGCCUCUGGAAAAAGCUCUUAAUAAAGAGGGAACUUACAGUUUCGCCUGUAAAAUAGCAACAGCCAAAUUUCCACUAUGAUUUGGGAUCAAGCAUCAAGUGCUGGAAGAAUAUGUUGCAAUUAUCCAGGUGAAUUGUUAACUGAAAUGUAAGGUUACUAACUGAGGUAAUUACCGCAGUGUCACUAUGAACACACUACCCCUGCAUUCUCCCAGCAUGAUACAGUGCUUAUGAUGGAUAGUGGCUGUUAGGUCCAGACUGGGAGCAGCAGCAACCUGUUCUUAAAUCCUUCCUCUGUCUAAUGCUCCUUGCUUAACACUCUGUUAAUUCCUGGUAACCCUGCUAUUCUUCCAAGGGCCUUAAAAAAAAAAACAAAAAAAAACCCACUUCCUUCAUCAUGCCAUUGUUUCAUCAUGACUUUGUGAAAGAAGAAAAGAAGGGGAAAAAAAAAAAGAAAGGAAAAAAGAAGGAUUGAGAUGGAACAAAAGACUGUGUAGCAGCAAGGAGCUUCUCCUGCAUCCACUUACUGAAGAAUGCAGAGUUCAAUCUUCAAAAUGGGAAAUCAACUUGUAUUUCUUACAGACAAGCAUUUUCUGUUGCAGAAAAACAAGUAAUAAACGUUCUCCC
rnacentral:lncRNA from 1 species